rnacentral:lncRNA from 1 species
CCCUAUCAUUGGUUGUUAGCUGUCUAUAAUAUUUCCCUCUUGUCUCUUUCUUAAAAUGAAUUAAUUGUACAUCCAACAGAAUUAAAAAGAUGCUCCUUUAUUUUUUCAUCUGAUGAAGGAUUAUGUAAUAGUAUACAAAGUAAAUAUCAAAACAAUUACAUAAAAUGUGGUUUUCAUUUCACAGAAAUGAAAGGAAAGGGGUUGUUUUGGAUUUUGUUAAUAUUUAAAAA